rnacentral:misc_RNA from 1 species
GAUGAAGAACGUAGUGAAAUGCGAUAAGUAAUGUGAAUUGCAGAAUUCAGUGAAUCAUCGAAUCUUUGAACGCACAUUGCGCCCAUUAGUAUUCUAGUGGGCAUGCCUGUUCGAGCGUCAUUUCAACCCUUAAGCCCCUGUUGCUUAGCGUUGGGAGCCUACAGCCUGCUGUAGUUCCUCAAAGUUAGUGGCGGAGUCAGUUCACACUCUAGACGUAGUAAAAUCUUUAUCUCGCCUAUAGAUGAGCUGGCGCCUUGCCGUAAAAACCCCUAAUCUUUUACAAGGUUGACCUCGGAUCAGGUAGGAAUACCCGCUGAACUUAAGCAUAUCAAUAAGCGGAGGA